rnacentral:misc_RNA from 1 species
GGGGCGCUGUUUCGCGCUUCGAGAGGUUGCCUUCCAGAUCGAAUACUGACUCGCGGGCGGCAAAAGUGAACCGGUAGUCUUUCGAAUCGCCAGAAUGGAAAAGCACCAGAAUGCCGUGGUACUCGGCUUGAUCAAUCAAGCGUGCAAUGACAUUCCGCAGUCCAACGCGGUUGCGGGCCACAUCGAUCCCACCGGCAACGACAGCCUCUAGCACCGCGAGUUGCUGCCCGCCAUGCAAUCGGGUUCGUCCAAGCUGCAAAACCGAAUCGAUAUGAGACUUUGUCGGUGGAAGCGGUUGCGGCGAACCGAACACGUCGGUCCCCGGCAAGACGGAUCGAAAGAGUUCAAGCCAGCGAUCCCGUUGGUAGGGUUGCUGAAGGAUCGACUGUAGUGCUUCGCGGUUCACGAUUUGGGAUCUCGAUCAAAUGACUCAGACAAAAUGAUCUCUGGGGAUUGUCUCUGAGAUGUGGAUUCACCUGUGUAAUUGGUUUCUCCGCCUCGUCUAGCAGAGGGUAGCGGCGAAGGAUGUGAAUCAAUUUGUCGGCAAGCGCAGCAGGUGUGAGCUUGACCUCUUUCGUGGACUUCUGAAGCUGGUUGAUCUCGCGUUGCAGGGUCUGGAACCGAACGCGACGAAUGGCCUGUUUAGCUGCUUGGAUGAGACUCUUCUCGUCCCCACUCAAUAUCGUCAGGUUGAGGAAGGCAUCAAGGUACGCUAAGGCGCGGCGCUCAUUGGGACCUUGGACGCCAUCGGCCACCUGAUCCUGCAGCGCUUGGGCGACGGAUUGCUCCUUGAAACGAUCAAUCGAAGCAUUGACGUGGUCGUGAUGCGCCGCGUGAAGGGGGAUGGCUUUUUCCUUAGGAUCGGAUGCCCGAAAUUCGCGGGCGGCUUCCAAUAAGGCAAUCUCCUCAAGUGCGCCUCCGGCCUUGAGCCUGUAAAAACCGUCUCGACGUGUGCUGCGAAUAAAUGUGACCGUGCUUCCGGCACGGUCUUUGUCUGCCCGUCCCAGGCGGGCACGUAGGGGAAGACUCUUGAUGCGACGGAAUUGCUCUGGUUGUUGGUUGCGAAACGUGCGCAGUUCCAUUAGCAAGGCGAGACGUUCGUCGCGUUCUUCCUCCUCUAGGGAGCGUUCGAACAGGCCAAACGUACCGAACUCCUCGGUCUCGGAGUAGAUCUGGCUAUCCUCGCCGAGUGCGGUAUGAAAUGCCUGCAAUUUCAUGAUGGCUUUUUUCUUCAACUCAAUAUCACUAUCCACACGGGCAGUCGGGUAAAAAUUGUAAAUGUAGAUCCUCGGGGCAGUCGCGCCGAUGCGGUUGAGCCGACCAAUGCGUUGCAUGAGGCGAGUGGAGUUCCACGGCGUGUCGUAGUUCACGACUACGUUGGCACGGUGGAGAUUUAUGCCUUCCGCCAAGACUUCGGUGGAGAGCAGGAUGUCGAAGUCAUUUGCUCUAGUCCCAGGGAAAUUCGCGU